CCCAAGCUUAAGCUUGUCGAAUAAACCCUCAUGUGAUUGCUUCGGUGCUUGGCUCUUUGGUGGUCUCUCAGACGCGAAAACUCGGGCACAGCAACAUAACAUAUUUGGGCUUGGCAGAGAUUUUGUACAGAAACAGUAAAAUAAACGAAAACGGUAUUCGGUGAAACUGCCUCGUGGUACACAGGGACAUCCUUACCUGCAUGAUCUGCUCUGAUUUAGGGGAGAAGAGACAUGGUUUGUUGUGCAGGAUGGAGAGUGGUCACCGUGUGCCAGCUGGGUGGCCUUGCUUUGUUUCCAUCUGAGAGGAUAUUUCCUGUAUUGCACACUGUCAUGAAGAAAAAUUAGGA